GACGAACGCUGGCGGCGUGCUUAACACAUGCAAGUCGAACGGAAAGGCCCUGCUUUUGUGGGGUGCUCGAGUGGCGAACGGGUGAGUAACACGUGAGUAACCUGCCCUUGACUUUGGGAUAACUUCAGGAAACUGGGGCUAAUACCGGAUAGGAGCUCCUGCUGCAUGGUGGGGGUUGGAAAGUUUCGGCGGUUGGGGAUGGACUCGCGGCUUAUCAGCUUGUUGGUGGGGUAGUGGCUUACCAAGGCUUUGACGGGUAGCCGGCCUGAGAGGGUGACCGGCCACAUUGGGACUGAGAUACGGCCCAGACUCCUACGGGAGGCAGCAGUGGGGAAUAUUGCACAAUGGGCGGAAGCCUGAUGCAGCAACGCCGCGUGCGGGAUGACGGCCUUCGGGUUGUAAACCGCUUUCGCCUGUGACGAAGCGUGAGUGACGGUAAUGGGUAAAGAAGCACCGGCUAACUACGUGCCAGCAGCCGCGGUGAUACGUANGGUGCGAGCGUUGUCCGGAUUUAUUGGGCGUAAAGGGCUCGUAGGUGGUUGAUCGCGUCGGAAGUGUAAUCUUGGGGCUUAACCCUGAGCGUGCUUUCGAUACGGGUUGACUUGAGGAAGGUAGGGGAGAAUGGAAUUCCUGGUGGAGCGGUGGAAUGCGCAGAUAUCAGGAGGAACACCAGUGGCGAAGGCGGUUCUCUGGGCCUUUCCUGACGCUGAGGAGCGAAAGCGUGGGGAGCGAACAGGCUUAGAUACCCUGGUAGUCCACGCUGUAAACGGUGGGUACUAGGUGUGGGGUCCAUUCCACGGGUUCCGUGCCGUAGCUAACGCUUUAAGUACCCCGCCUGGGGAGUACGGCCGCAAGGCUAAAACUCAAAGGAAUUGACGGGGCCCCGCACAAGCGGCGGAGCAUGCGGAUUAAUUCGAUGCAACGCGUAGAACCUUACCUGGGUUUGACAUGGAUCGGGAGUGCUCAGAGAUGGGUGUGCCUCUUUUGGGGUCGGUUCACAGGUGGUGCAUGGCUGUCGUCAGCUCGUGUCGUGAGAUGUUGGGUUAAGUCCCGCAACGAGCGCAACCCUUGUUCACUGUUGCCAGCACGUUAUGGUGGGGACUCAGUGGAGACCGCCGGGGUCAACUCGGAGGAAGGUGGGGAUGGCGUCAAGUCAUCAUGCCCCUUAUGUCCAGGGCUUCACGCAUGCUACAAUGGCUGGUACAGAGAGUGGCGAGCCUGUGAGGGUGAGCGAAUCUCGGAAAGCCGGUCUCAGUUCGGAUUGGGGUCUGCAACUCGACCUCAUGAAGUCGGAGUCGCUAGUAAUCGCAGAUCAGCAACGCUGCGGUGAAUACGUUCCCGGGGCU
rnacentral:rRNA from 1 species